UACGCUAAUGAAUGAUAGGGACAGAGAGAAGGGGGGGGGGCUAAGAUAGAGAGGAGAAGGGAAGAGAGAGAGAGAGUAGGGAAGAGAAGGAGAGAGAGAGAAAGAGGGAGCGAGUUGGAUGAGGAAAAAAAGAGAGGAUUUUCUUGAGAAGGAACCAAGGAGCUGUCUUGGAAAAUUCCAAGAAUAUAUUGGGAAUAUUUUGGUCCAAGCUGGUCCAACCUUGGGAAGGAGCCAAGAAGUUAAAGAAAAAAGGUGCAAGACGUGAAAGCACGAAAAAUUACCACAUAUGCCUUAAGAAACUGUCAAAUUAUGUAUUUGUAAGGACUAGUGGAUUUUUUUAUAGAAUUUUUUUUUUAUUGUCGAUGUG
rnacentral:lncRNA from 1 species